rnacentral:tRNA from 1 species
GAUAUGAUGGCUGAAAUAAGUGUUAGAUUGUAAAUCUAUUUAUGGUUAAUAACCUCAUAUCA